GUGUUCAGUUCAGCAGCACAUAUACUAAAAUUGGAACCAUACCCAUACAGAGAUUGGCAUGACCCCUGCUCAAAGAUAACAUCAAAAUUCAUGAAGUGUUCCAUAUAAAG
ensembl:snRNA U6 U6 spliceosomal RNA